AGAGAGGUGGCCGAGUGGUUUAAGGCGCACGCCUGGAAAGCGUGUUGACGUGAGAACGUCUCGAGAGUUCGAAUCUCUUCCUCUCUG
rnacentral:tRNA from 1 species